rnacentral:misc_RNA from 1 species
CUGAAUGGCGCGCCAUUUGCUUACAAAACUGCGAACCGUAGGCCAUCUUUGCUGUUUGAACUGACGACAGACGAUGUGUCUAACGCUGCGCCAGAAGUAUCGCGACGAGGACGAUCAGGCCUGCCGACAAUAGCUUCCNNNAUUGCUCUCGUAGAGCGCCUUCCGCGUCGUAACUGCGGGCUUCGCCCACAUCGCUCCAUU